CGGGGCACUUCCUGUUCCGUGGAAUCCAGAGGCGGAGAUCCCGCUGGCAUCGGGCACCCCAAGUUGUGCGCCUUCUGUCAACGCGACUUCAAGCUAGUCCUUGAACUUGCCGCCUCGGCUGCUCCAAUCGUGGUUUCCUCCCAGAGAUGAGGAGCGGGGAAAGGAACACCGGUCUCCUAGACGCUAGUUGUUUAAAGCUGCGGUGUCUGUGCGGGUCGUUCAGCGACACACCUCGGCCAGCCGGCUCUGCGCUCUGCUCAGCGCACCCUGUACCCCGGCAGUCCCCCUGUGUUCUGGGUCCCCACACCCCUGAGGACAGACUCAAUCAGAUAUAACUGUUGAUGGCGCUGGCAGCCGGGCUCCUUUAGGAAACCCAGUGUCGGAAGUAAGUAACCUAAGAAAUGAGCGGCUGGAUCUACUAAUUGUUAGCAGUUGGCAUAUUUUCAAGAGAGGAGGUGUCGCGAUGGGCAAAAAGUGCGACUUAUGCAGUGGAGGGGG
rnacentral:lncRNA from 1 species